CCUACGGGAGGCAGCAGUGGGGAAUAUUGGACAAUGGGCGGAAGCCUGAUCCAGCCAUGCCGCGUGUGUGAAGAAGGCCUUAGGGUUGUAAAGCACUUUCAGGGGUGAGGAAGGGUGAUUGGUUAAUACCCAAUUAUCUUGACGUUAGCCCCAGAAGAAGCACCGGCUAACUCUGUGCCA
rnacentral:rRNA from 1 species